rnacentral:rRNA from 1 species
UACAGAGGGGGCAAGCGUUAUUCGGAAUUACUGGGCGUACAGCGCGCGCAGGCGGUUGCCGACGUGCCGUGUGACAAACGGGGGCUCAACCCCCGAGGGCCACGGUAAACGGGGCGACUGGAGGUAGGGAGAGGGAUGUGGAAUGCCCGGUGGAGCGGUGAAAUGCGUAGAGAUCCGGAAGAACAUCGGUGGCGAAGGCGGCCUGCUGGGCAGUAGCUGACGCUGAGGCGCGACAGCGUGGGGAGCAAACAGG